rnacentral:rRNA from 1 species
AUGUUCGAAGAGCUGAAAAUGGUUUUUCAAGCUCAUGCCCGGGUCGAGAGAUAUGAAGUCUCCGACAAGUUCUUCAGCUGUAAGAUGGAGGAAAAUAGUUCUGUCAGCGAGCACAUACUCAAAAUGUCUGGGUUGCAUAACCGCUUGACUCAGCUGGGAGUUAAUCUCCCGGAUGAUGCGGUCAUUGACAGAAUCCUUCAGUCGCUUCCACCGAGCUACAAGAGCUUUGUGAUGAACUUCAAUAUGCAGGGGAUGGAAAAGACCAUUCCUGAGGUGUAUUCAAUGCUGAAAUCAGCAGAGGUGGAAAUCAAAAAGGAACAUCAAGUGUUGAUGGUGAAUAAAACCACUAAGUUCAAGAAAGGCAAGGGUAAGAAGAACUUCAAGAAGGACGGCAAGGGAGUUGCCGCGCCCGGUAAGCAAGCUGCCGGGAAGAAGCCAAAGAAUGGACCCAAGCCCGAGACUGAGUGUUUUUAUUGCAAGGGAAGUGGUCACUGGAAGCGGAACAGCCCCAAAUACUUAGCGGACAAGAACGCCGGCAUCACGAAAGGUAUAUGUGAUAUACAUGUA